rnacentral:rRNA from 1 species
UACGUAGGUGGCGAGCGUUAUCCGGAAUUAUUGGGCGUAAAGGGUGCGCAGGCGGAGGACAAAGUCCAUGGUGAAAGAGCGGGGCUCAACCCCGUAAAGCCAUGGAUACUGGUCUUCUAGAGUACUGGAGAGGGAAGCGGAAUUCCAUGUGUAGCGGUAAAAUGCGUAGAUAUAUGGAGGAACACCGGAGGCGAAGGCGGCUUCCUGGACAGAUACUGACGCUCAGGCACGAAAGCGUGGGGAGC